rnacentral:lncRNA from 1 species
GAAUCUUCCUGAGCCUGGUUGAGUCAGAACUCCUAGGAACAGUUCCCCAACUGUCACUCUGAACCUGGGAGGUAAAGAAGAAAAGGUGUGUGCCUGAGACAUCUUGAAACCCAUCCAUCAAGCUACUGGACUUUUGAAUAUCUUCUGGCUGUGGUGAGAAGUUAUCUUCCGUCUUCUGCUGGACAGUGCCUGGAGAGCUGAACUUCCUACUUUGAUGAGACCAUCUGUGGACAUCACACCUGGGACUCCAAUAUCUGACUUACCAAGGACUCUCUAUUUUGCAAGGAAAAACUCACCAAUCCAAAUACUGAGUAGAAAAUUCAUCGUCUCAUCUGGAUAACUGAAGAGAUGAGCUGAUUGUUCUGCUAAUCACAAUUCAAUCAGCGAAGGUAACUCAAAACAGGAAUUUAACACUAUUAAAUCCACCUAUAAGUUGAAUGUAGAAUCAUACCACUGCUCAGAAUUUGAAGAAAAAAACAGAAUAGGCUAAUGGGACUAAGUUAUCUUCUUUCAAGUUCCAAUCACAUGUCAAGUGCAACCAGUGAUUCUUCAUGCAAGGCUCUGCAAACAGCAUUGGAAGAGAGAGUAUGUCAGUUUUCCACCAGCAACUUCCACCAAGGCACAAGCACACAAGUUUAAAGAGACCUUUUCAUCAUCCUUGAAAGAGACAAUAAGAGCCUUGUACAACAUGAUUAUUAGCUUAUGGUCCAGAU